CUACGUGCCAGCAGCCGCGGUAAUACGUAGGUCCCGAGCGUUGUCCGGAUUUAUUGGGCGUAAAGCGAGCGCAGGCGGUUUGAUAAGUCUGAAGUUAAAGGCUGUGGCUCAACCAUAGUUCGCUUUGGAAACUGUCAAACUUGAGUGCAGAAGGGGAGAGUGGAAUUCCAUGUGUAGCGGUGAAAUGCGUAGAUAUAUGGAGGAACACCGGUGGCGAAAGCGGCUCUCUGGUCUGUAACUGACGCUGAGGCUCGAAAGCGUGGGGAGCGAACAGGAUUAGAUACCCUGGUAGUCCACGCCGUAAACGAUGAGUGCUAGGUGUUGGAUCCUUUCCGGGAUUCAGUGCCGCAGCUAACGCAUUAAGCACUCCGCCUGGGGAGUACGACCGCAAGGUUGAAACUCAAAGGAAUUGACGGGGGCCCGCACAAGCGGAGGAGCAUGUGGUUUAAUUCGAUGAUACGCGAGGAACCUUACCCGGGCUUGAAUUGCAGAGGAAGGAUUUAGAGAUA
rnacentral:rRNA from 1 species